ACCGUAGAAGGUAAUAGUCCUGUAAGUGAAACGAGAAGACCACGAGUUAUGAUCCAGAGUACCACGAGACACGUGAAACCUUGUGGGAAGCAGGGAGGACCACCUCCCAAGGCUAAAUACUACCUGAUGACCGAUAGUGAAGCAGUACCGUGAGGGAAAGGUGAAAAGAACCCCGGGAGGGGAGUGAAAUAGAACCUGAAACCGUGUGCCUACAACCGCUCAGAGCCCCUUAUGAGGGUGAUGAGGUGCUUUUUGUAGAACGAGCCAACGAGUUACGGUAUGUAGCAAGGUUAAGUACUUAAGGUACGGAGCCGAAGGGAAACCGAGUCUGAAUAGGGCGACUAGUUGCAUGCCGUAGACCCGAAACCGGGUGACCUAUCCAUGGCCAGGUUGAAGCGAGGGUAAAACCUCGUGGAGGACCGAACCACGUUGCUGUUGAAAAAGCAUGGGAUGAGCUGUGGAUAGCGGAGAAAUUCCAAUCGAACCCGGAGAUAGCUGGUUCUCUCCGAAAUAGCUUUAGGGCUAGCGUCGAGUAUGAGUAGUGGAGGUAGAGCACUGAAUGGGCUAGGGGGCAUAGCGCUUACCGAACCUUAUCAAACUCCGAAUGCCACAUACUUUGAGCUCGGCAGUCAGACUACGAAUGAUAAGAUCCGUGGUCAAAAGGGAAACAGCCCAGAUCGUCAGCUAAGGUCCCAAAGUGUAAGUUAAGUGGGAAAGGAUGUGAGAUUUCUAAGACAACUAGGAUGUUGGCUUAGAAGCAGCCAUUCAUUAAAAGAGUGCGUAAUAGCUCACUAGUCGAGAGAUCUUGCGCCGAAAAUGUAACGGGGCUAAACUUAC
rnacentral:rRNA from 1 species